AUUGAACGCUGGCGGCAGGCCUAACACAUGCAAGUCGCGCGGAGCGGCGGACGGGUGAGUAAUGCCUAGGCAUCUGCCUGGUAGUGGGGGAUCACGUCCGGAAACGGUAGCUCAUACCGCAUACCAUCGGAUGUGCCCAGAUGGGAUUAGCUAGUAGGUGGGGUAAAGGCUCACCUAGGCGACGAUCCCUAGCUGGUCUGAGAGGAUGACCAGCCACACUGGAACUUAGACACGGGCCAGACUCCUACGGGAGGCAGCAGUGGGGAAUAUUGCACAAUGGGCGCAAGCCUGAUGCAGCCAUGCCGCGGGUAUGAAGAAGGCCUUCGGGUUGUAAAGUACUUUAAGUUGGGAGGCGUUACCAACAGAAUAAGCACCGGCUAACUUCGUGCCAGCAGCCGCGGUAAUUC
rnacentral:rRNA from 1 species